AUAAAGUCUUAGAGUAGUAGUAGUGUGCGUAUUAAAAGAACAAGACUUCAAUUUAGAUUAAUGAGGUAUUCACACUUGUACAGCCACUUCACCUGUUUCCACCUAUAACUUUCUAAAAUAUUCACACAAAUUAUUGAGAGAGGUGUGUGUGUAAAAUAUAUAUCUAUCUCCAUCCAUCCCCAGGACGUACUAGAAAACCAGAGUAAUCUGAAUGUC